rnacentral:rRNA from 1 species
UAAUACGAACCGUCCAAACGUUAUUCGGAAUCACUGGGCUUAAAGGGUGCGUAGGCGGCCCGGCAAGUUGGGUGUGAAAUCCCUCGGCUCAACCGAGGAAUAGCGCCCAAAACUGCCGGGCUUGAGGGAGACAGAGGUGAGCGGAACAGCGGGUGGAGCGGUGAAAUGCGUUGAUAUCCGCUGGAACACCGGUGGCGAAAGCGGCUCACUGGGUCUUUACUGACGCUGAGGCACGAAAGCCAGGGGAGCGAACGGG